GUUUAUGGUCGUACCACCCUGAACAAGCCCAGUCUCAUCUGAUCUCGGAAGCUAAGCAGAUUCGGGCCUGGUUAGCACUAGGAUGGGAGAGAGAGAAUAGUUUCCCUCUACU
rnacentral:rRNA from 1 species